rnacentral:rRNA from 1 species
GACGAACGCUGGCGGCGUGCUUAACACAUGCAAGUCGAACGAAGAGCGAUGGAAGCUUGCUUCUAUCAAUCUUAGUGGCGAACGGGUGAGUAACGCGUAAUCAACCUGCCCUUCAGAGGGGGACAACAGUUGGAAACGACUGCUAAUACCGCAUACGAUCUAAUCUCGGCAUCGAGGAUGGAUGAAAGGUGGCCUCUAUGUAUAAGCUAUCACUGAAGGAGGGGAUUGCGUCUGAUUAGCUAGUUGGAGGGGUAACGGCCCACCAAGGCGAUGAUCAGUAGCCGGUCUGAGAGGAUGAACGGCCACAUUGGGACUGAGACACGGCCCAGACUCCUACGGGAGGCAGCAGUGGGGAAUCUUCCGCAAUGGACGAAAGUCUGACGGAGCAACGCCGCGUGAGUGAUGACGGCCUUCGGGUUGUAAAGCUCUGUUAAUCGGGACGAAAGGCCUUCUUGCGAAUAGUGAGAAGGAUUGACGGUACCGGAAUAGAAAGCCCAGGCUAACUACGUGCCAGCAGCCGCGGUAAUACGUAGGUGGCAAGCGU